GGUGCAAGCGUUAAUCGGAAUUACUGGGCGUAAAGCGUGCGCAGGCGGUUUUGUAAGACUGUCGUGAAAUCCCCGGGCUCAACCUGGGAAUGGCGAUGGUGACUGCAAGGCUAGAGUUUGGCAGAGGGGGGUAGAAUUCCACGUGUAGCAGUGAAAUGCGUAGAUAUGUGGAGGAACACCGAUGGCGAAGGCAGCCCCCUGGGUCAAAACUGACGCUCAUGCACGAAAGCGUGGGGAGCAAACAGGAUUAGAUACCCUGGUAGUCCACGCCCUAAACGAUGUCUACUAGUUGUCGGGUCUUAAUUGACUUGGUAACGCAGCUAACGCGUGAAGUAGACCGCCUGGGGAGUACGGUCGCAAGAUUAAAACUCAAAGGAAUUGACGGGGACCCGCACAAGCGGUGGAUGAUUUGGAUUAAUUCGAUGCAACCGAAAAACCUUACCUACCCUUGACAUGGCUGGAAUCCCUGA
rnacentral:rRNA from 1 species